GUCACGAUCCAAACGACUCGUAAACUUGUUAAUUAUCUUCACCUUCAAAUACAUGUAACUUGAGGUGGGCUAGAUCCGACUAAUCCGAGUCGAUCGAUAAUAAUUGACCUUUUUACCGAAGGAGAAAGACAGGAGAAGGAAUAUGAUUAAACAACCGCGCCCAGUUCAAUUGCUUUUCCGGCGAAAUUUCAUCAGAAAAUAGCUGGAAUUUGCCUAAUGUAGACCAAAACAUCCCUCCAUAUGCUAUCGUGAUAUUUUAAGCCGAGAGUGAAACACAUGCCCUUUUAGUCGGACUUCAAGAAUGUUAUCUACGGAAAUUUGCAUAAAAAGGUGCCAUGAUCAGCAUGAUCAAAGUUUCUGACUUUAUUAGAUUUGACGUUUGCAUUUUAAUAAGCCAAUCACUUAUGGGUUUACGAAGUGACACACAUUAUGGAGGAGGGAUCGUAAAAUAUCUAUCGAUAAACUAGAGUCUAGAUGUACAUCCGACACAUACAAAGUUUUGUAUAAAAGAUCAUAUAAAACCCACCUGCAAAAUCUUGCCCACAAAUGAAGAUUCUGCAGCUCUUGGGCACGGUCAUGGGCAUAUCCUUAAGCAAAUCAACUUCAACUUCAGGUUCGGAUAUCGCGUUUUGACCCAAUUUUAGAUGUAUUUCUUCUGAUUUUCCUGAAUUCUGCAGUGGGGUUCUUGCAAGAUCAAUCUCCUCAAUCCAAGGAUUGACAUGUAAAGUCUCCAUUAUUGCCUUUAACACUAAAUCACCAUCAACCCCUUUGCAGCCUUGCAAUGACAAUCGUUUCAAACUAGCAUUUUUCUGCAAAGUCACAAAGAUUCUGAUUAUAUCUUGUGGACUUAAACUUUGGUCAUCAUAGAUGCCCAAUCUUGUUACAGUUUGAUUAGUGCUUAGCAUUUGCAAAAUUGCAAUCAACCCGUUCCUACGUAUCUUGGUUUUUUUCCCUCCAAAAGUUAUCGACUUUAAUGUUAUAUUAGCUUGAAUUUGAACAGUGGAAAAUCGUGUUAAUGGGCAAAGUAAGUGUUCUACACCAACCCCAUUAAACCGGUUACCAUCUAAAUGCAAGGUUUCCAAGCUCCGGUUCUUGAAAAGUCCGGCUGCAACAUAAACAACACCCUUGUUUUUUAAGCUUGUUUUUGAGAGGUUAACUUCUUUUAGACUCCGAUUCUGUUCAAGAACCCACCUGAACUCCUUUGCCCACCUGGAUCUUAACCUGAUCCCAGUCAGGUCAAGUGUUUUGACAGUUGUGUUCCACCCUAGAGCACAAACCACCCUGCAUGCCCCUGAAAUGUUUAGCCGGUAUAUUCGUAGUGUGUUACUCUCGGGUGCAAAUUCAACGACUUUUGAGCUGGUGUUGUUAUUAUAUUUUCCACUCCAUAUAUGAACUUCCAUGGAUCUGUUUCUAGCUAGCACUGCAGAUAUCAAUGGUGUGGCUGUGAUUGAACUUGAGUCAAAUAUAGUCAACAACUUCAACGUCGAAUUUGAUUCGAUCAUUUUUGAGAGCUCUUCUGCCCCUCUUGAUCCUAUUGAAUCCUCCCAUAUUUGUAACUCCUCUAAACAAGUAUUCACCUUUAACGCUGAAGCAAUUAAACUAGCUCCAUAUGAACCAAUUCUUGAUUCAGAAAUCAUCAUCUCUUUAAUCACAUCAUUUCUUUUCAAUAUUUUCGCCAGUACUUCCAUGCAUUCGGCAUUUAGCUUGUUUUUCUUGAACACAAGCUGUUUUACAUUCGAAGAACCAUCAAGCAGAACCUCGAGGCUCUUUACUUCUUCCAACUCCCAUUCAACUUGGUAAAACUCAAGAUUUUGUAACGAAAGACGGGUAUUUGAAGAUGAUGCUAGGAGUGAAAGGAUUUCUGAAAAAUGAAAAUGUGCGUCACUAGAAAUGUUUAUAUGAAUGGAUUCAUAACUUUCUUGAUAACAACAUGAAGUUGGUUGUAAAAGAUGGAAAGAAAUAUUUUGAAGGUUAAAACUUUCAUUUUGAAUUGAUUGGAAAAGCCAUUGAAGAUCU